rnacentral:snRNA from 1 species
AGUUGCAUGGCACAAAGC